rnacentral:rRNA from 1 species
UACGUAGGCAGCGAGCGUUGUUCGGAGUUACUGGGCGUAAAGGGUGUGUAGGCGGUUCUUUAAGUUUGGGGUGAAAUCUCCCGGCUCAACCGGGAGGGUGCGCCGAAUACUGAGGGACUAGAGUACGGGAGAGGAAAGUGGAAUUCCUGGUGUAGCGGUGAAAUGCGUAGAUAUCAGGAGGAACACCGGUGGUGUAGACGGCUUUCUGGACCGUAACUGACGCUGAAACACGAAAGCGUGGGUAGCAAACAGG